UGGCGGCGCGGGGAUGGGGACGGCCGCGGUGUGCUCCCCGGUGGCCCUCAUGGCGCAGGUUCACUCGGCCCAGCUGCUGACGAAGUCGAAGCUUCGAGAAGGAAGGGGAGAACAGGCCGGGGCACGGAACCCUAGAUCUGGAGGAGGAGGCGCCGCUUCGUCGCCGCCGGAUACCGUCGCGGAAAAAAAAAACUUCUGGUACCGGAGGUCGAGCGGAGGCGAGGUCGCGAGGAGGGAGAGGGGAUAGAU
rnacentral:lncRNA from 1 species